rnacentral:rRNA from 1 species
UACGUAGGGUGCGAGCGUUGUCCGGAAUUAUUGGGCGUAAAGGGCUCGUAGGCGGUUUGUCGCGUCGGGAGUGAAAACACCGGGCUUAACUCGGUGCUUGCUUUUGAUACGGGCAGACUAGAGGUAUGCAGGGGAGAACGGAAUUCCUGGUGUAGCGGUGAAAUGCGCAGAUAUCAGGAAGAACACCCGUGGCGAAGGCGGCUCUCUGGGACGGUACUGACGCUGAGACGCGAAAGCGUGGGGAGCGAACAGG